UGUGACAUCACAAUGCUCCAAUGUGACAUCACAAUGCUCUAAUGUGCCAACACUAUGGCCCCAUGUGCCAUUAUUUUGCUCCAUUUUGCCAUCACAGUG
rnacentral:miRNA from 1 species